CACUGUUUUCAGAGGUCACAGAGUGCACCGACUACUAAAAGACACUCUCUGAAUCUAUUGCAGGCUUGCAUGAUAAUGAUUUUCCUAAAUUUUACCAGCGUUUGUUGAGCCUUUGGCGGGAGGCAAGCCUCUGCACAAUCCAUAUUCUGGAAUGAUUUGGGGGAUGAUUCACCCUCCAGCUUCUACUGACUGAACGCCUCCUGCCAGUUGAGGAGCAGUUCAAUGAGAGCAGGCAGGUCCUUGAUGUCAGGAAGAUGGACCAUUCUCAGCUCCACUUGCUGAUGGGGAGUCUGGCCACAGCUUGGUUUCUUAAGUCUGAAAGACUCAUCAGGCAGCCACAGCACAAAGAUGUGAUCUUCCGUUUGGGCUGAACAGCAGAUGGAGAGUACAGCAAUGUCUUGUGGCAGAGGCAGGCCACCCACCGUGGGUCCCGGGAAGCAGAUGAAUGCCAGCUGCAGAGAAGGAAGCACAAGGGGAGCUGCAGAAGGAGCUCAGGCAUCAGAUGUUACGGCAAUGAAAGAUUUGAAGGCUUUAUAACAUCAAGUGAGAAGAAAGGUUGAGAGGUUCAAGUGACAUAACUGAAGUUCUCAACAUUAGCAACUCGGCCGAGACACCUAACGGCUUGGCACGUAUCCAUGCCCUGCAGCCUCCUGCAUCACUGCUGCGUGUGUACGUACUGAAGGGUUUAAUGAAUCAUAAACAUAUGAUCACCUCAUGGAAAAAAAAUGUGUUGUGCCCAGUCCUCUUUUCCAUAAAGAAAGCCCCAUUGGGCAAUGCAGACAUGUGGAAACAGGCCACAAAAAUGCAGCAAAUUAGUCCUUGUUAUCCUCUCAUCCGUGCAGGAAAGUUUUAAAAGGUAAUAAAGUCCUAGGGUCCUACAAUUGGCACUUUAGCCUCUGUUCUUAGAGUAAAAUAUAGUGUGGGAUAACUACUAUACAUCUAAGCAUUUAGUUUAGCUUUUAAUUCAAAGGGGAUUUCAAAUCAUGCUGUCACCUGUUCCCAAGUUUUCCACUGCAGGUUACCAUCCCAAAGUAACUCAUUAAAAUAAAUGAAAACAAAUAGGAUUAUGCAAGAAAAAUGUCACUAGUGCUAUUAUAAAAUAAGAAUGUUUGGCACCACUCAAUAAAGCUAUAAUUCUGAGCUGUAAAUAUAAUCCGUGGAAAUUCAGAUGACAUCUCAACUCAUUAGUUCUGUUCCGUAUUUGUGCUUGUGCUUGGAAUAGAUGAUAAUGUAGUCUUGUAGGAUCCCAGCAUCAUAAGGGUCAUUGUUUGCUCUAAUGAACAAUGAUGCAAUUCUAUGCUAUGAUUAUUCUUGUUUGUCAAGUAUCCUGUUUAUGUAAUUUCUUAGCAUCAUGGGUAACCCUGUCAUUCAAAUUUGUGUACACCCAUACCAAAAAGUCAAACCUAUAUACCUUUCAAAACAGUGUGUCUCGUCUUGCUUUUUAAUUUUUACAGGAUUUUCUGGGGCAGAGGCUGGGAUAGAAAUUUGGAUGAAUCAUUUAUAUCAUUUUCUAGUUUUUUUUUUCCCACUGUAAGCAUUUGUUUAAAAUUUAGUAAUCCUUUUAGGAGAUGUAACCUGAUUGAGAAAGUGGGGUGAGGGACGGAAAGAAGAGAUGAACUAUCAGACGUAGAGAAGAUGAACUUUCAGAAGGAAGCACAGGAACUUAUUUGCCUGAAUAAGCUGAAGUCUAAAUCCAAAAUAGGUGAGCUGGUAUAAGACGUGCAGUGAGGGGCUGGGGAUUUAGCUUAGCAACAUAAGCGCCUGCCUGGCAAGUGCGAGGUCAUAAGUUCGAUCCCCCCCAAAAAAAGAUGUGCAGUGAUGCUUAGAAGGAAAUUUAAAUGUGUGUGUGCAACCCAGUGUGCUACAACCGCUGUGGGCUACGCGUGGUGUGCAACUGCAGCCCUACCACCCUUCAGCCAGCUAGUCUUCAGCCAGAUGCACAGGGACUAGAAGAUCAAAGCAACCAGGGCAGCCACAUGUAAAGAGUACGCUUGAUGCUAGGGGAAUGUCAGGUUUUCAAGCAUAGGACUCACAACCAGGGGGACAGAGGAACCCACAGAAUGAAUAGAAAAAGCUCUCGCCUCUGAGAACUCCUAACACAUGGUAUAGCAAUGCUAAGGGAAAACUUUGUUGUCAGGAAAUUCCCAGUUAGGUGCCCAGUGGAGUCUUGGAAAUAAAACUAAGUGAUGUAAGUUUUUCCAAAUCGUGUCUUUCUUUUAAAUGUGAUUGGAUAGUGUUUAUGCCUUCUUUCUUCCUCUGAGAGGUUUAGUUCCUUCCUCUCCAUGAGUUGUAUCAUAAAUAAGGUUUGUAUGAUUAUCACUUGAAACACUGAAUAAGUUGGUGUAGGAUAUCAUAUGGAUGGCUCUCCUGAAAUAUGAAAAGCUUAUUUCCACUUAGCUAAAUCUGGCUGUGUCUGAUACACACAGAGCUGGCUAAGCCAGAUCCCUUGCCCUUCAACUGGCUCUAAGCAGUGUAAGUAGGGCUAGCUGAGGUAUGUAUAAUCUUGGAAGACAGUGAAACUCCGUUUUCUCACUGUUAGAGUUUCCCUGUAAAUGGGGGAGCCCAAUGGGAUAGCCCAGCCAGUGCUCCAGGGUUAUCAACUGGGAUCCAGAGGUUUGACUUUCUAGGACUCAGAAGUUUAGGCAGCAGGAAGUGAAGCAACAGCCCCUAAACAUCAUAUGCUACCUCAACUGUGUUAUGCAGAUUGAUCUUUCUGCAUAUCGCUGCACAUUGCAGAGGUGCUUUCUGGCCUCCUAGCUAGCUCAGCUCACAGUGCUCGUGGAAUUCCUGCCAUUCUCCCCACCACUCACCCUCUAGCGGCUCCCUUCUUCAUGAGUUGACUGGGUUAGGCCCCGGGGCAUAUGGGAACCCCGUCUGGACCAGACUCAGGACCCCGUGGCUGCCUGUAACUAUAAAAUGUUAGAGUGUCUUUAUUCUCUCCAUUGGUUUCACUGAACAUGGUAGAUUGGAAUUAAUUUAUCAGAAUUCCAGUAAUGUUUCUAUGCAAUCACAAACACAAACUUUCAGGAAAAUGGCCUCUAUAGGUUGAAGCCAAUCCUAAAAAGUGAGGUGUCUCAAACUGAAUUCAAAGCACGUAAGUUAGCAAAUGUUCUUUAACUGGCUCUUGCUAGCUGUGUGAAAUUAGGCCAAUUAUCUAGCAGCUUUUACACUAUGGUUUUAAUGUUUCCCCAAACUUGAUAUGUUGGAAAUGCAAUCUCCUGUACAAGUGUUGAGAAUGGAGCAAAGCCAUGAGGAGAUCAAUGUCGUCGUGUUAGGGGUGCACUUACUAUAAAAGCCAGGUUAGCCCCUCUGGUUCUGUCACGUUCUCACCUCUUUCCUCUGUCACAGGAUGAAGUAAUUCUGGAAGAAAAUGUCAGUGUGGGCCAAAUUUAUCCUCAGCUAGGUCUGGGUCCUUAAGGACCAACACUGGAAAUUAUAGAAUUCCCAAAAUCUUUGGAAUUAAGAUGAAGUCUCUGGCAUUGUAUGAUCAAGGUUAAGAUCAGUAUAUGUCUGGAUUUUCCCAAGAUGGGCCAGAAUUAUGUGUGUUGUCUUAAUAAAGUUAUUAAUAAAAUUUCUUUUGCUUUCCAAAGUAUAAAAGUUUGAAUGUUAAGUUAUAUAAUUGGCACAUCACAAAGUACUUUGGAUGACUCUAAGCUUUCAUGUGUAAGUCACUAAUCAGGGGACUCUGUAUUGACCCAAGGAGCCUGCUAUUAUCAGUGCUGCUGAUAAUGU